GACGAACGCUGGCGGCGUGCUUAACACAUGCAAGUCGAGCGGUAAGGCCCUUUCGGGGGUACACGAGCGGCGAACGGGUGAGUAACACGUGGGUGGCCUGCCCUCAGCUCUGGGAUAAGCCUGGGAAACUGGGUCUAAUACUGGAUAUGACUCCACGGUGCAUGUCGUGGGGUGGAAAGCCUUGUGCGGCUGAGGAUGGGCCCGCGGCCUAUCAGCUUGUUGGUGGGGUGAUGGCCUACCAAGGCGACGACGGGUAGCCGGCCUGAGAGGGCGACCGGCCACACUGGGACUGAGACACGGCCCAGACUCCUACGGGAGGCAGCAGUGGGGAAUCUUGCGCCAAUGGGGCGAAAGCCUGACGCAGCGACGCCGCGUGAGGGAUGACGGCC
rnacentral:rRNA from 1 species